CCCGCCGUGGCGCCGUCGCCGGGGCCGGCGCCGACUCCUCCUCCUCCUCCCCCGUCGAGCAACCAUGCGUCAGGCUGUGGGAGUGGUGGCUGGCGAGGGUGGAAGGCGAAGAGCGGAAGCUCGCAGUCUCCGGGUACACUGAAAAGAACGACGCGUUCACCUCUGCGCCCAUAGCAAAGCGUUACGAGCCUCUUACGAUUGAAGAUGAGGACGGGGUUGUGGUGCUCCUUGUUGGUUCAUUGAGCUUGCCACGAAUGCAUGAAAAUGG